GGGUUUGAUCCUGGCCCUGCUCUAACGCGUGCAGGAAGUCUAAUACAUGCAAGUUAUAUUUUUUUAGUGUAUAUUUAUAUAUAUAAGAAAAAUAGCAUCCGGGUGCGUAAUAAUUGGAAAGAUGAAAUAAAGAGUAAGUUAUAUACUUUAUAAAAGACAAAGAUUCAUCUUUAUUAGUUAUCUGAUUUGGAUUAGGUUGUUGGGUUGGUAACAGCAGCCCAAGCCCUUUAUCCAUAGCCUUCCUUAACGGGAGAUGGCCACAGCGGCACUGAAACAAGGGCCGUCCGUAAAUAUGCGGCAGCAGUAGGGAAUCUUUGACAAUGGGCGAAAGCCUGAUCAAGCUGUCCUGUUUAAGAUAGAUUUAUAGCAAAUCCAAUAGGAAGGCCGAUGAGUCGAAACUCUUACCUUUUGGUAUAACAAAUGAUUUAUCCUGUCUUUGUUAAAGACUCUAGGUUCUUAACAAAGAUUAAAGGGUAUGCCCGGCAAAUUCUGUGCCAGCAGCCGCGGGAAUACAGGAGGGCAGAGUGUUGAGCAUUUUGACUAGGCAUAAAGCGUGGGUCGGUGUAUAAAGAGUGUGUUGUGUCCGCUUUGCGGCAGUCCGCUUUUUCUUCGGUGCUUCGGCGAAGCCGACUGCGCGACCGAAGAAGCAAAGGCAAGCUAUGCCCUAGAUUGUACUAGGAUUGGUACAGACCCUUUAUAUUGAGUUAAAAGAAAGCAUGUAGAAUAACCCUAGGACUGGUGGAAUGGAAAGAUAAGGGUUAGAAUACCAAAGGCGAAGGCACCAUGCUUUAUUUUUACUGACGCUUAACCACGGAAGCGUAGGGAGCGAUAGGGAUUAGAUACCCCUGUAGUCUACGCCGUCAACUAUCAGUGUACGGACAGAUUUUAUUUGUCUGUAGCCAAAAGCAUAUACACUGCGCCUGGAGAGUAAUGUCGCAAGGCAGAAACUCAAAGGAAUAGGCCGCCGGGUAGACCGGUGGUGGAACAUAGCGAUAGAAGCGAAACAACGCGCAAAACCUUACUAUUUCUUGACAUGCAGU
rnacentral:rRNA from 1 species